ACGCUCUUGUAUGGAGGACGAGGGGAUUUUAUUGAGAAGAAGAGAUUUUAUUGAAAAGAAGGGGUUGUACUCCUGGCAGCAGAUGCAUCGGAAACAAUCAAACAAUGCUAGUAAUAAAAUGCGCUUGGUUUUGCAAUAUUUCAUCAGUUCUUCAAAAGAAAUAACAUGAACAAGUCAGCACUUCUACUUUUGCUUCUCAUCGGACUUCUCGUCCUCACUGAAACUACAACUGCUUGGUGGGUUGGUCGUCGCCGUGGUGGUCGUCGUCGUGUUCCCCAUUAUAACCAACAGGAAAUGCCUGAAAUAAACGAAAUUCCAGACUUCAAAUCCGAGGAUCUUGGUUCUAAGAUGAGAUUAUAAAGAGGUUUCCGCUCAAGCUGCAGAAGUACAAUAUUAAUAAAUUAAACAAAUAAAUUAAUAAAUUAAACAUCAGCAAA